rnacentral:rRNA from 1 species
GAUGAACGCUGGCGGCGUGCCUAAUACAUGCAAGUCGAGCGAACAGACGAGGAGCUUGCUCCUCUGACGUUAGCGGCGGACGGGUGAGUAACACGUGGGUAACCUACCUAUAAGACUGGGAUAACUUCGGGAAACCGGAGCUAAUACCGGAUAAUAUAUUGAACCGCAUGGUUCAAUAGUGAAAGACGGUUUUGCUGUCACUUAUAGAUGGAUCCGCGCCGCAUUAGCUAGUUGGUAAGGUAACGGCUUACCAAGGCAACGAUGCGUAGCCGACCUGAGAGGGUGAUCGGCCACACUGGAACUGAGACACGGUCCAGACUCCUACGGGAGGCAGCAGUAGGGAAUCUUCCGCAAUGGGCGAAAGCCUGACGGAGCAACGCCGCGUGAGUGAUGAAGGUCUUCGGAUCGUAAAACUCUGUUAUUAAGGAAGAACAAAUGUGUAAGUAACUAUGCACGUCUUGACGGUACCUAAUCAGAAAGCCACGGCUAACUACGUG